UUUCUAGUAUAAGUGUGUCCCAUGCAGCAUUUGGGACAUACUUAUAUUAAAA
rnacentral:pre_miRNA from 1 species